UUAGAGAGUUUGAUCAUGGCUCAGGGUGAACGCUGGCGGCGCGCUUAAUGCAUGCAAGUCGAGCGUGCCUCCCGACUUCGGUUGGGUAGGCAAGCGGCAGACGGCUGAGUAACGCGUGAGUAAUUUGCCCUCCGGUGGGGUAUAGCCACGGGAAACUGUGGGUAAUCCCGCAUUCGAUCCCCAGACCCUGGUUUGGGGAGGAAAGCCUUCGGGCGCCGGAGGAGAAGCUCGCGUCCUAUCAGGUAGUUGGUGAGGUAAUGGCUCACCAAGCCGAUGACGGGUAGCUGGUCUGAGAGGACGACCAGCCAGAGGGGGACUGAGACACGGCCCCCACUCCUACGGGAGGCAGCAGCA
rnacentral:rRNA from 1 species